rnacentral:rRNA from 1 species
UACAGAGGGGGCAAGCGUUGUUCGGAAUUACUGGGCGUAAAGGGCGCGUAGGCGGCCUGCUAAGUCGAACGUGAAAUCCCUGGGCUCAACCCAGGAACUGCGUCCGAUACUGGUUGGCUUGAAUCCGGGAGAGGGAUGUGGAAUUCCAGGGGUAGCGGUGAAAUGCGUAGAUAUCUGGAGGAACACCGGUGGCGAAGGCGACAUCCUGGACCGGUAUUGACGCUGAGGCGCGAAAGCCAGGGGAGCAAACGGG